UCGAGAGAUUAAAUUUAAUAAAGAUUGAUUAUGCUAUUAGAUUAAAUUAAUCGGAAUUAAAAUUUAUCUCAUAUUUUGAUAUUGAGAUAAGCUUGUUGGGAUUUAAUGGAAAAUUUGGAGAAAUUUCCAUUAAAUAAAAUAAAUGAUUUUAAAAUGGAUAUUUAAAUAAUAUCCGCAAAUUUUAUUAUUUGGAUUAUUAUAAGAGAAUCCAUAAAUAAUUGGAAUAUUCUUUUUAAAUACGGGUUUAAGCACGACAAGUGAAUUAUACGGUUAAAUAAUAAAAAUUUAAAGGAAAAAGGCAAUAAUUAAUAUGUUUGGAUUAGUUAAAAGGACUCCGUAUAAUUUAUAGUCGUUAAAAAAAAAAAAUUGGAUUUCAGCUCGGUACAAAAACGACUUGGUUAAUUCUAAGAUUAUUACCUAAGGAUUUUAAAUUAGAAAUUGAAUGGUGAAAGUUAACAACUUAAAGGACCUAAAGAAGCAUUUUGCCAAGCCAUUUGUGUCAUUUACAUAUGAAUAUUUGUUCUUCAAAUAUUCAUUUCCAGCAAACAUAAAGAGAAGAAGAACUCCAUCUUCUCUAAAUUUCUUAAAACUUCUAUUCAUCACCAAAGCUUCAUUUCUUGUCCGUUUUGAGCGAUUUUCGCGGCGUUGGAACGAGGGAAGGAUUUCCUACUGAUCUAAGGCUUCAAUUCAAGAUUCUACGAACCAUAUGACUGAUGAUUUGAAGGAAGUGGGUGAUUAAACGACGUGCCGUUCAUUUUAUUUGCUUGUUAUUAUAUUUGGAUUAAGCGAUCGAGUGUUUUCUUUCAGGAUUAAUACUUGAUGAUGUGGUCGAGCUUCCAACCAUUGUUCCGGAAGUCUCAAUUAUGGGGAGUCUUAUUUUUCUUAGAGCUGCAGUAGUCAAGAUAUUAGAGUUAGCUUGUAGCAAACAAUUUACGUUUAUUUUAUGCCAUGACAUAAUGAUGUAUUUUGGGAAAAUGAAUUAUCCAGAAAUUUAAUAUAUGGUUAAUUGGUAUUUUAUACAGAGUGGUUUGUGCGUUUUCACAGGUGUGGUUUAUUAAGUUUACAGGCGUUAUAUUGCCGAUUUUUCGAAAAUGGUUUUAUUAAGUAUUAUAACGAUUUUGAUACGCGAAAUUUUUUUUGGUAAAUUUAGGCUUGCUACGGGUUUCGGAACCAAAAUUCCCAUUCCCUAGCGCCGGUCGUGGCCCUCGAUUUCGGGUCGUGACAAAUGUGGUAUCAGAGCAGUUGGUCCAGGAUACCACUGCUUUGUGUGAGUCUACCUAGGAAACUACUGCAGCACAUAGGAUUCGAGUCAUGUCUUUUGCAGGUUGUCUUCUGUUCUCUAUAGUUUCAACCUUCCUAUUUAGGAUAUAAGCCGCAAUUAUCGUGUGAUACUGCGUGCGAAUUAAAUAAUUAGUAUUUAUGCGACUUGGUGACUAGGCUUAGGUAGGAAGUAAUGUAUAGUGUGGGGAUGUUAUGAUAAGCAUACGAUAUAAGCGUUUGCGGAUGACUGAUAGAAAGGUGUAGAUUUAAAGAAGCGGAAGAACUUACCAAGUUACAGAGUUAAAGUCUGGAGAACUUACAAAGUUAAAAGUUUAUGAAUUAAAGUUAAUUGUUUAAACGAUUUUAAAAGCAUAAUUGUGCCUAGACCCGAGAUAGAAAUGCAUUAUUGCCACGACAUGAAUAGAACUGCAUCACUACAUACACAUUAAAUGGAAAGAAUAAUAAAUGAAUUCAUACAUUAGUAGGACAUGCAUCAUGCUCAUUUGGCCUAGACAAAAGGUAAGUUGUGGCAACUCCUUGGGGAUGAGAGACGUCAUCACCCUAGAGCACAAUUAUGCUAAUCUUUAAAGGAUUUGAAUGUGAUUUUUAUAAAGGGUCAUUUUCUUUGAAUUGCAAAGAUAUUUGAAUUAUUUUUUUUUAAGAGGUUGGUAUUAAACGUAAGUAUACCUAGACCGAAACUCUGUAACGAAGGUAAAAUGCUCGAGGUUAGGUUACAAGCAACUCUAAAAGGCACGACAAACGUGUAUUAAAACACAAAAUGAAGAAUUGUGUUUUGAAUAUACAACGUUGGUAGUAGUUCAACGAACUAUAGUGUGAGUAGAAUAGUAAGGCGUAUCUGUAUAGCGAUAUAUAUAUAUGAUUAAGCAAUGAGUUAAGAUUUUCUUAUCUGUAAAUGAGGUGUUUAGUACAUCAUGCUAUCAGAUAAUAGAUGUAUAAAGGAAGAUAACCAAACCUAUUAAACGAAUUGUAAGACCAAAGUUGUAGAUUUACAAGACGAUCUCUACUAAUUAAAGAAGCGAAUUUUAAGCGAUAUCGGAGAAUCGCCAAGAUUAGUAAAACUAAAGUAUCUUUUAAUGGAACCGUUGGAUCGGUUUGACGCUGGAGUAUGACCUUCCUAAGAAGAUCAUUUAGAAAUGAACUGCGGUGAUUGUCAAACGAAGAGUUAGGCAACAUGUUUAUAAAAAGUAGUACUAUAAGAUUUAUAUAUAUAUAGAAAGGACCAAGUUAUAAGAAUAUAUAGUAUAUUAAGAGUAUUAAUGGAAAUUCUGUAUAGAUACGAAUACUAUGAAGUAUUUGGUUAAUGAGAUUAAGAGACGAGACAUGUGUAUUAUACGGAGAAAGUUAGGAAAUUAGAAGUGCUGAUUAAGGAAUUAAGGAACGUAAUUAUAAGGUCAUGAGAAUCCUAAUAGCAAAGAAUGAAAGUUAUACUACGGUAGCUAUAAAAGAUUGUCGGUGACUCAUAAAGGAGAACGUGAACACUGCGUGUGAAAGGUUAGCACAUGUUUCAUAUCGCAGAUGGUACCAAAUAUAUUAUUUGAGGAUUUAUAUAUUAGAACCAAUGAAGGAAUCAAAGUAAAUUAAUGUUUAAAGUAUAUAAUGUAUUAAAGACGAAGGUAACUGGAUAAGAACAUAAGCCGUAAUGAUAGUUAUGAAUAAGGAAUUGAAGAGGGUAAACUUUCAGAAUUAGUUACUCUACAGUUGAAACUAUAGGGAAUAAAAUGAGGAAAGGGUAUGAUGUAUGUUAAAUGAUAUCUAGUAUAGAUCCAACUCCAUAAGAUUCAAUACGAGAGAUCAUGAAAUGGGUAAUUGGUAUCAAAGAAGGAAUAUACCCAUCUACUAUAGAACAACGAUAAAGAUAUCAUGUAUAAACAUGUACAUGAUUGAACGUAAAGAAGGCGGAAAACGUUAAGAAACGUGACGUCGAACUUCGCUGAAUUUAUAUAUUAAAAGAUAAGUGUUGAAACAGGAUAUGAGAAAUGACUCAGGACGGAAUAAUACAAAUUAUUUGUAAAUUUUUUAGAAAUGAUGAAGGCAUAUGAUUUGAAAAAAAAAAAAGAUACAUGAAAGACGCAAAGGUAUGCAAACCUAAUGGAAAAGAUUGAAGUAACGGAACUUCACAAGUACUAAAGCUAAUUGCAGGAUAGUUAAAUCAUGUUUUAUAAUAAGUCUUAUUUAAUUAUGUGCCCGGAUCAAUGAAGUAAGACGGAAGGAUGGUAUAUGAGUUGUAAAACUUUAAGGAAGAGACAAGCCAUUAAAGUAGUUGUAUAAAGUCGUAGUAGAGGAAGAGAUAUGGAGGAGCGAGUAAGCAUGUUAGCUGUCAGCGUUAAAUUAUUAAUGAAUUUAUAAUAUAAGGUUCAGGCGUCCGCAAAAUGGAUACAGACACUAAAUAAAGAUAUUUUGAUGGAUUAUUCAUUGUCAAGGUGAGGUGAAGGUGAAUGUGACUACGAACAUUUCAUAUGGAUUUUGGUUAUAUAUCAAGUGGGAUAAUCCAAAACUUAUAACUACGUUUGGACUAGUAGUUAAUUUCGAAAAAGUUCAAAGAAUUCAACUAAAGAGACUACAUGUCAAAUUAAGAAAAGUUUAGAUGCCCGAGGUAGGUAGUUUGGACAAGUUUUCCGACCCCUAACGCUUGUCAAAGUCAAUUCAAAUCUCAAUGGAAAUUGUAGAGAAAGUGCAAAGAGUGCGUUUAAAGAAAGUAAUAGACAAUUGGACGAUUUUAAGCGUUUCAUUUAAUGGUUUAAAGUUACCAUUAAAUCAUUAACAUUUUGGAAUACAUUGACUUUGAUAGAAGCUAUAAUAUCAAAAUUUCAACAAUUAGAAUACCAUGAAUUUAUUUGUGGAAGAAGUUGUAGUUCGUUUGAGUUUAAAACGCAAUUUUACAUUGCGAAUUAGUUAACGUUAAGAGAGUUAUCGUAUUUAGGAUGUGAAAAUAAAGAUCGUAAUAGGUGUUCGAGAUAGCUAUUUUAGAGGUAAUUUUGGACAUGUUCGCAAAAGUUUUUCGUAAAAGUUCUUAGUAAUAUGCAGAAGAGGAUAUGUCGGAAAGGAUAACGACAAGCCCAAAUUAAUCCCGAAAAGUAAGACCUGCCUUAGGCAAGCAGGCAAACAUACACAUUUAAGUAAGCCUAUAAAUUAAAGGUUAAGUAUAUUUUAAAGCUAACCUACGAAGACUAUUUCUGGAUCAAUUUCCGAUCUCAAGAUGUGCUAUUUUGGACAUGAGAACAAAAUGAAAGUUGUAGACGGCCUUGCAUAGAAUGAGUUUCAAGUGACAAACUAAAAUUUGGACAGAUUCUGGACGUUGGUUUUGUGGCCUGAAGUGGGCUAAAAACCUAAAAAUUUUACGAAGUUGAGAAAAAGUGAUUUUUAGUUAGUUUGGAAAACUAACUACAUGAUAUAUGAAUAACAUAAAAUAAAAUAAGUAUAAGUUUUAGAGAAUCAUAGAAUAAAAUAUUCUAUGAGAUUGUGCCCCGAGAAAGUGACGGAAGUAAUCAGUACUACUGAAGAAAAAGGCGAUAUUAAAAACAAAUUGGACGAUAAAUAUAAUAAGAAAAUUCGAGGACGAAUUUUUUUUAAGGGGGGAAGAAUGUAAUACCCCGUAUUUUUGGAAAAGUAUUUGAUUGGAUUAAUUAUAUUAUUUUAGCCAAUUGGAGCUAAAAUAAGAGAAUUUCCGUAAAUAAGACGGAAAAUAGAAUUUUAUCGAGAGAUUAAAUUUAAUAAAGAUUGAUUAUGCUAUUAGAUUAAAUUAAUCGGAAUUAAAAUUUAUCUCAUAUUUUGAUAUUGAGAUAAGCUUGUUGGGAUUUAAUGGAAAAUUUGGAGAAAUUUCCAUUAAAUAAAAUAAAUGAUUUUAAAAUGGAUAUUUAAAUAAUAUCCGCAAAUUUUAUUAUUUGGAUUAUUAUAAGAGAAUCCAUAAAUAAUUGGAAUAUUCUUUUUAAAUACGGGUUUAAGCACGACAAGUGAAUUAUACGGUUAAAUAAUAAAAAUUUAAAGGAAAAAGGCAAUAAUUAAUAUGUUUGGAUUAGUUAAAAGGACUCCGUAUAAUUUAUAGUCGUUAAAAAAAAAAAUUGGAUUUCAGCUCGGUACAAAAACGACUUGGUUAAUUCUAAGAUUAUUACCUAAGGAUUUUAAAUUAGAAAUUGAAUGGUGAAAGUUAACAACUUAAAGGACCUAAAGAAGCAUUUUGCCAAGCCAUUUGUGUCAUUUACAUAUGAAUAUUUGUUCUUCAAAUAUUCAUUUCCAGCAAACAUAAAGAGAAGAAGAACUCCAUCUUCUCUAAAUUUCUUAAAACUUCUAUUCAUCACCAAAGCUUCAUUUCUUGUCCGUUUUGAGCGAUUUUCGCGGCGUUGGAACGAGGGAAGGAUUUCCUACUGAUCUAAGGCUUCAAUUCAAGAUUCUACGAACCAUAUGACUGAUGAUUUGAAGGAAGUGGGUGAUUAAACGACGUGCCGUUCAUUUUAUUUGCUUGUUAUUAUAUUUGGACUAAGCGAUCGAGUGUUUUCUUUCAGGAUUAAUACUUGAUGAUGUGGUCGAGCUUCCAACCAUUGUUCCGGAAGUCUCAAUUAUGGGGAGUCUUAUUUUUCUUAGAGCUGCAGUAGUCAAGAUAUUAGAGUUAGCUUGUAGCAAACAAUUUACGUUUAUUUUAUGCCAUGACAUAAUGAUGUAUUUUGGGAAAAUGAAUUAUCCAGAAAUUUAAUAUAUGGUUAAUUGGUAUUUUAUA